CGUCUCCGCAGCGCAGGACGCGCUCGGGAUCAUGGAAGAUCGGCCACGCCAGGACGGCAGCUCAAGGAAUGAAAUGGUCAGAGAAAGCCCGCUUCGGCGGGCUUUCU
rnacentral:sRNA from 1 species